rnacentral:rRNA from 1 species
AACGAACGCUGGCGGCAGGCUUAACACAUGCAAGUCGAACGCCCCGCAAGGGGAGUGGCAGACGGGUGAGUAACGCGUGGGAAUCUACCCAACUCUACGGAAUAACUCAGGGAAACUUGUGCUAAUACCGUAUACGCCCUUCGGGGGAAAGAUUUAUCGGAGUUGGAUGAGCCCGCGUUGGAUUAGCUAGUUGGUGGGGUAAAGGCCUACCAAGGCGACGAUCCAUAGCUGGUCUGAGAGGAUGAUCAGCCACAUUGGGACUGAGACACGGCCCAAACUCCUACGGGAGGCAGCAGUGGGGAAUAUUGGACAAUGGGCGCAAGCCUGAUCCAGCCAUGCCGCGUGAGUGAUGAAGGCCCUAGGGUUGUAAAGCUCUUUCACCGGUGAAGAUAAUGACGGUAACCGGAGAAGAAGCCCCGGCUAACUUCGUGCCAGCCGCCGCGGUAAUAC